UGGGUUGGGAAAUGAGUAGAGG
rnacentral:miRNA from 1 species